rnacentral:lncRNA from 1 species
CUCAAAUUCUUUGACAGUUCUUUCCUCAAAAGCGGAGCCUAAUUCCCCUCUCAUUGAGUGUCGGUUGGACUUGGUGGCACUUUUAAUGAGUAGAACGUGGCAGAAUGAUGGUUUGUGACUUCAGAGCUGAGGACAUAGAAAAUAUUGUGGCUUCCUCCCUGUUCUCUUUCUUGGACCACUUGUUCUGGGGAAGCCAUGUCAUGAGGAUGCUUAAAUGACCUUGUGAAGAGAUCCAUGUGGUGAGGAGCUGAGGCCUCUUGCCAACAUCCACGUGAGCGUGCCAUCUUGGAAGUGGAUUCUUCAGCCCCAAUCAAACCUUCAGAUGCAGGUGCAGUCAACAUCCUGACUGCAACCUCAUGAGAGACCCUGAGCCAAAACCAUGCAGCUCAGCAGAAAAAGGCUUUGCUGGAUACGGCAAGGACAAAUAUGUACCAUGAUAGAGGAGAGUUUUCAGUUUUGUUGGGGAAAGAGAUUGCGUAUCAACCCAUGGAUGUACACACUCCGCCUCUUCAGAGAGAACUUCACAAGCCUCACUCCUGAGAUUUCCUCAAAGGCUGCAUGGCCUGUUGAACUCUUUGCCUCUGGAUUCUGCAGUUGGUGGUAAAGUACUGAAACAUGCAGGCCUCAGGGCUUCCCUUUAUCUGUGAAACUGCAGAAGAGGCUGGCUUAGGCGAACUCAGGUGUGGAAGCUGCUGAGGGAGCCAGAAACCUCGGCGUAGACUUUUUCUUUGUGAGUAGAGAAGACUGGCUCCUAAAGGGGAUCAACUGAUAUUUCUAAACUCCCAGGGAGUGGAGCUUCCACGAGGCAUCGCGAUUCAUUGGCCAGAAGUAUCUGCUCCAGCUGCCAGGCCACAGUUAUCAGUCCAGAAAUAGUUCUGAAAAUGAGGCCAGAACCCACGUUAAUGAAGCCUGAUUGCCUCAGAAUUAUUGUAUGAUGAAUUAGCAGCUUUGCCAGUAGCCCACGUGUGCGGGGUCAGUGACAAUUUAUGGUGAGUCACAUUUAAGUAGUUUCAUUCAAUUCAACCAGCAUUUACUGCAUCUACUAAGCACAGAGCCCUGGGCAGGCCCAGUGCAAGCAAAGGGACUGAAUUGAACAUCAAAUGACAGGGGUUCUAGGCCUACCUCUGCCAUAACGUUCUGGACAGGGAGAAGGGAGAGCGACAAGGAUUGCCACAGAAAAGGCUUAGGGAAGCAAAGCUUCACAAUGGCUGGCUUACCAACGCCAAGGAAAGCAAAAUGAAUUUCAGACCAACACUAGUCAAAAUUGAUAUCUAGAUGUCUAUAUGAGUCAGUAUCCUUUGGUUGCAAUUGACAGAAACCCAACUCUAACUAGUUUAACCAUGAACUACAAAGACAAAAACAAUGACAAACAAAAAAGAAAAUGUAAAGAAUUAUUUAACUGCAACAUUCAAUGGGUUGUCUAACAUCAGGAAUGGCUGGAUCCAGGUACUCAAAUGAUGGCCUUUGUCUUUGUUUUCUUCUAUAUCUGGUUUAUUCUUAGGCAUUCUUAUCAUCAUAGAUUGGGUUCCCCUACUCACCUACCACCACCCAAAGCAGUCUCCAGUGCAGGUAGUUUAUUUAGGAGAUGUGGCAACCAUGAAAAUGCACCACUCAGAUCUUAUGCUGCAGGAAGCAUCAUUGACUGACAGCCCUGCCAUUACCCUUCUGGAUGCACCACCAUGUUCAUGUGAAAGCCCCACUUCCCAUGGGCUGCUCCCAGUGAAUGACUGAGCACGGCGAGGCCAUUAAGGCAAGCCCAUUCCUGGACGAUGCAGGACUCCUCUGACACGUGGCUUUGAGUUGAGAAUCCCUCAUUGGCCUGGCCAUACUUGUCUUGGAACAGUGCUACGGUCUGUGAGUUUUCCUGACCAAUUAACCCUGCUUCCCUCUCCCCUUUACAGGAUGAGACCUAUCUGCUGCAGCUUCUCCUCUUUUGCCUUCACAAAUGUUUCUCCCAAUAAAGCUCUUGCACGUCUAAUCUCAUCUUGGCACCUUCUUCUCAGAGGCACCAAAUCAACACAGGAGGUAAUCUCAGGAAGCAUAAGGGAGAAAAUGGGGAAGGUGAGACAGAUAAGGGAGAAAAGUCAAUAGAAGGUGCACUAAUGAGCAGGUGACUGUUGUGGGCAAGUCAUCCUGGGGUUUUCUUAGAGACCAUGUGGGUCAUGCUCAGGAUCAUCCCACCAGAAGGCAGGGACCCUAUGGCACUUAUCUACUGUUUUCCAUUUCCCACUGGCAGAAGGUUUUCCAAGUGUAUCAGCUCUCUCACACUUCAGAGUUGCAGAGAAGUGUUCUGGGGCACCAACAAAAGACCAGGCAGAGAAGAAGGGAGAUAUAGAUGCCUGAGGUUGGAAACAGCCUAUUAUGGCUGUAGGUAAACUCAGGUGGGCCCGGGGAAUAUGGUGCAGGGCGUCAACAGCAUCUACUACAGUCAUGGUGGGAAAAAAGUAAUAAAGCACUACUGGUGGCUUACAAUAUCCCUAAAGAUAGCAAUUCCAGAGAAUGUUUCUCUCCCGAGAAUUUCCUGGGAGUGCCUCAGAUUGGCCAAACUCAUGUCACAUGGCCAUCGCUAAGCCAAUCACUGUGCCUGUGGAAAUGGAGUGUCCUGUCACACUGGGGUGUAUGAUCCAGCUGCCUCUCCAACUCACAUCUACUGAGAAUGGAGCAGGGAUGGCUCCCUGAAUGAUGUGCUGAGCAGAUGAAAAUCUUAUCACCACUACUGGAUACGGUCUUAAAGCUUGAAGAUGGAGGAAGAUUCCUGAUGGCAGAACUUUUCAGCAUCCGGUCAGGAGGUGCACACAGCUAAUGCCUAGAGACCUCAGUAUGACAUGGAUUCUCGGGAGCUAAGUUCACCCUAUAGCACACUGGAUACAAUUACCAGAUGUCACUUACUGGUGGGGAAGCAGCCCUUUGCUACCUCCAUGCUGAGCUUUCAUUAGCAGAGCCUUCGUUGGCUGGGUCCUCAGCGACUCAGGACAUGGGGAGCUGGAAUGUGGAAAUGGCAUCUUCUCAUUCCUAGACUCAUUGUCAGCCCUAGAGAAUGGCUGGCAAUCUCAAGGAUGCUGUUCUCCAGCUGCUUUCCACACUUUUCUUCAGCCACGGGCACAGGCCAUAUUUGUGUUUGGUUUGGGAGGUGGCCUCUGCCCCAGUGCCCUGUGGUGAGGAAACAGGAGAAGUGUACAAUUAACAAUUAACAGCUUUAUCUCUACUCAUAUGUAAGAGACGUAAUUAGCUGGCUCCAUCUGUUACUGAUACCUGCUGGAGUCAGCCAUUCACACUUCAGCCAGAUAUUACAGUGAGUGGGAGGGCCUGAAAAGGAAACAUUUCAAAAUAACUCACCUUUCCUUGUUUCAGACAUCCUACCCCCGUUCAGUCGGUCUCCAACUUUGCUUUCCUCAGGUGUACACAAUUUGCUGUCAGUUGGCAAGGAAGGGUGUUAGCUAACGAAUAUGGAAGCCAAUGGUGUGCAUGAUUUUCCCAGAAGCUGAGCUUUGAUUUAAAGAGAGAAGACUUCGUGUCUCUUGUGGCAGUAGUGGGGCACUGUCCCAGCUAGGGCCACAUCGCAGUACGCUGAUUGGUCUCAGUACUGAGAUGAAAUAUUUUCAGAGGGAAAGGCUAAAUUUGGAAGGACCAGCUGGAGCCUCUAGAGUAAGUCACUGGCCCAAGAUCAAUGUUACAAAGGUAGGAAGGAGAUGAGCUGAGACUUGCCUCUAAGCCUAUCCAACUCCAAAGUCCAUUUUCUAAAUCAUGACACAUCACUGAUGUUGGGGGAAGUUUUACGGACAUGAUGGUCUCAUGGGACUUAAGAAAGUCCAAGACCACUUUUAUUUUUGGAAGUCAAAACAGCCAUGCAAAGAUGAGGCAUUUAAAAAGAAAUAUUUCCACCUAGGUAAUUAAUGCUUUUAAUGUAAAAAGGUACAAUGCAAUAUAGUUGGGUUAUUCACAAGAUAAUUACAGGACUCAUAAAAUAUUAAUUCACAGCACAGUAUAAGUGGCAGAGCCUGAAUGGGG